rnacentral:rRNA from 1 species
UACGUAGGGUGCAAGCGUUUAAUCGGAAUUACUGGGCGUAAAGCGUGCGCAGGCGGUGAUGUAAGACAGGUGUGAAAUCCCAGGGCUCAACCCUGGAACUGCCUUUGAUACUGUCGAUCUGGAGUAUGGAAGAGGUGAGUGGAAUUCCGAGUGUAGAGGUGAAAUUCGUAGAUAUCGGGAGGAACACCAGUGGCGAAGGCGACUACCUGGCCUGUUCUUGACGCUGAGGCGCGAAAGCUAGGGGAGCAAACGGG